rnacentral:rRNA from 1 species
UCCAGACUCCUACGGGAGGCAGCAGUGGGGGAUAUUGCACAAUGGGGGAAACCCUGAUGCAGCGACGCCGCGUGAGUGAAGAAGUAUUUCGGUAUGUAAAGCUCUAUCAGCAGGGAAGAAAAAAGACGGUACCUGACUAAGAAGCCCCGGCUAACUACGUGCCAGCAGCCGCGGUAAUACGUAGGGGGCAAGCGUUAUCCGGAUUUACUGGGUGUAAAGGGAGCGUAGACGGCAAUACAAGUCGGAAGUGAAAUACCCGGGCUCAACCUGGGAACUGCUUUGGAAACUGUAUGGCUGGAGUGCUGGAGAGGUAAGCGGAAUUCCUAGUGUAGCGGUGAAAUGCGUAGAUAUUAGGAGGAACACCAGUGGCGAAGGCGGCUUACUGGACUGUAACUGACGUUGAGGCUCGAAAGCGUGGGGAGCAAACAGGAUUAGAUACCCUCGUA